GCAAUGAAGUAAUUCAUGCGGCAAAACAUAAAAUUUGUUGGAGCAAAGAUGGGGAUGAUUUCAUAGGCAAUUGCACAAUUCAAGAACCUAUCAACUGCAUGAUAUAGAAAGCCUGCCAAAAGAUCAAGAUCCAUAAAUGAUCCAGUUACCUAAGCUACAGACACUGAUUGGUUUACAUCAAAUUAGCCAUACUGACAAAUUCCAAAACAUAGUUCGGUGCAAUUAAUCAACUCUCACCACAGUACAGAUCACAAAUAACAAUAAAUAUGCAUCUCUUCGAGCUAAACUAUUUAAUAGCUCUAUCCUAUCUCAUGCAGAAACAGAAACAGGAGCAGGCUAGCAUUGUCAAGGCGAAUUCUUGCAAGUUAUUUCAGAGUAACGGCUGCAUUUCUCAAUGCAAGAUACCUAUGCACAUGCUCAUUUGGAAGUGAUCUCACGAGUUUGAAGACAUCAGUAUUUGCAUAACGGAGGUUGGUCCUUGGAUCAUGGUAAGGUGCCUGCAGAAGAAGUUCGCUAUGUGUAAGAGGGUCUGUAAAGAGAUUGGUAUACUAUUCCAUAUUGUUUCAGAUAGCAUUCAAGAUAGUAGGAGUUAAUCAUUGCAUGUUCAAUCUGUAUUUCAUGGGAUGAAUGGAAUUGAUA